AGAAAUUCCGGUUACUGACGGAUAUGUGAAGAAACACAGUGUAGCCGGAGGGAUGGAAACAUCUUAUUUUAGCCGACCGUCUGGGCAGCUUCU
rnacentral:ncRNA from 2 species